AGCGAACGCUGGCGGCAGGCCUAACACAUGCAAGUCGAACGAACCUUUCGGGGUUAGUGGCGGACGGGUGCGUAACACGUGGGAACGUGCCUUUAGGUUCGGAAUAACUCAGGGAAACUUGUGCUAAUACCGAAUGUGCCCUUCGUGGGAAAGAUUAAUCGCCUUUAGAGCGGCCCGCGUCUGAUUAGCUAGUUGGUUGAGGUAAUGGCUCACCCAGGCGACGAUCAGUAGCUGGUCUGAGAGGAUGAUCAGCCACAUUGGGACUGAGACACGGCCCAAACUCCUACGGGAAGAAGCAGUGGGGAAUCUUGCGCAAUGGGCGAAAGCCUGACGCAGCCAUGCCGCGUGAAUGAUGAAGGUCUUAGGAUUGUAAAAUUCUUUCACCGGGGACGAUAAUGACGGUACCCGGAGAAGAAGCCCCGGCUAACUUCGUG
rnacentral:rRNA from 1 species